GAUGAACGCUGGCGGCGUGCCUAAUACAUGCAAGUCGAGCGAACAGACGAGGAGCUUGCUCCUCUGACGUUAGCGGCGGACGGGUGAGUAACACGUGGAUAACCUACCUAUAAGACUGGGAUAACUUCGGGAAACCGGAGCUAAUACCGGAUAAUAUAUUGAACCGCAUGGUUCAAUAGUGAAAGACGGUUUUGCUGUCACUUAUAGAUGGAUCCGCGCCGCAUUAGCUAGUUGGGAAGGUAACGGCUUACCAAGGCGACGAUGCGUAGCCGACCUGAGAGGCUGGUCGGCCACACUGGAACUGAGACACGGUCCAGACUCCUACGGGAGGCAGCAGUAGGGAAUCUUCCGCAAUGGGCGAAAGCUUGGCGGAGCAACGCCGCGUGAGUGGUGAAGGUCUUCGGAUCGUAAAACUCUGUUAUUAGGGAAGAACAAAUGUGUAAGUAACUAUGCACGUCUUGACGGUACCUAAUCAGAAAGCCACGGCUAACUACGUG
rnacentral:rRNA from 1 species